rnacentral:rRNA from 1 species
AUGGAAGACAUUCAGCACAAGUCUGAAAGGCACAUGAUGGACUAUACAUUGCGAAGGGCAGUAACAGAAGGCAAUGUACAGCGAUUUAAUGAACUUUUGCAAGAUGAAAACCAGCCACCUCCAAGGACAUCCAGGCUUCUCCAAGGAGUGACAUCUGAUUGGGACGGAGUGCUCCAUAUUGCAGCAAGACUAGAGCAUGUUGAACUAGUGCGUGCCAUUUCCGAUGGAUGGGCCAUGUUAGUGGAUGUAGCAGCCAAGAACAGGAGAGGGGAGACUCCCUUGCACUGUGCGGCUGCCACCGAGGAACCCGAGAUGAUCAAUCUUCUCAUACUGAUGUCUGGAAGCCAUGAGAAGCAAAUGGAACUUGUCAGUGAAAGAAAGUGCAACGGGGAAACAUGUUUACACGACGCUGUUCGGCGGGGGAACAGACAAGUUGCGAGUAGAUUGAUCGCGGCAGAUGUCAGCGUGCAAUACAUUAGGGACAGACACAGAUGCCGUGCUCUAGUGCAAAUAGAGGAUAACGAAGGUGUUUCUCCUCUAUAUUUGGCUACAACUCUAGGCAACCUUGAAAUGGUUCAGCUCCUCACUGAAAGGCCACAAGAUCACAGGUAUGCAGCAUCCUGUGCUGGGCCUGAAAAGAAGACAGCUCUGCAUGCUGCAGUUCUUCUUCGAUACCGCAGCACAGAGCUCAGUCAACAUCUCGUGGUGUGGAAUCCUAACCUCAUAAAGAAGACUGAUCUAUAUGGGAACACGCCACUUCACCUUUUGGCAUCAAGCUGGACUACCAGGCAGCCAGCUACUGCAAAACUUCUGUUGGAUAGGGACGCAAGCGCUGGAUACCUCUGGGAUGCCGAGGGAGCACUACCCAUACAUGUCGCAGCUGCUAAUGGAUGUCUUGACAUGAUCAAGCUGUUGCUAGAGCAUUGUCCCGAUUGCUAUUGGCCAUGCAGUAACUUUGGCCAGACCAUCCUCCACAUUGCUGUCCAGCAAAAAAAUUACAAUGUAGUAAGGUAUGUAUGCUCAGGGCAAAGGUUCCUAGGAAUUCUUAACACCAGAGAUGCAGAUGGGAAUACGGCUCUUCAUUUGGCUGUAUUGAAAGGAAAUGUGUCCAUCUUCCGAGUGUUACUGGGGAUGAGGCAAAUCUUUUUGAGUCCCAGAAAUAAGGAGGAGCGCACGCCUCUAGAUCUUGCAUCCUUGGGCAUCCCACCUGGCGUGUCAUUUACACAGCCCCGGCAAUGGAUUGCGAAUGACCUUGUACUUGCUAAGGCUGAAUAUGGCACUGGUCGGUGGGAUCAUUUUUCUACCAACUUCACAACAGCUGACAGGGAGAAGAAUUCCGAAGCAAUUAGCAAGUCAGCCGGGCUCAUGGCCGUCUGUGCUGUGCUUAUCCUGAACGUAGCAUUUGCGGCCCCUUUCAACGUUUCGAAAUUCUACAUCGAUUCCAGCAACGCGAGCAGCACACUUGGGAGAGCAAAGAUGCACGUGUACAAAGCGUUCAUGGUCUCGGACGCCUUAGCGUUUGUCUUCUCGGCGGCAGCGACGUCUUGCUGCACAUUGGCAGGCAUUUCUGUAGCGGACAGGAAUACACGCUUCACCCACCUUGCAGUUGGAUGGCUGUUACUCGAGCUUGCCGCGCUGUGUAUGCUCGCCGUCUUUAUGUCGGGGGUCUAUGUGGUCGCUUCUCCAGUUGGUUUCAGGUUUGCCAUCACUGCCUGUGCAUUUGCCAUUCUAGCCACUUUACCACACUUCACAAUGUCCGCCAUGCUGUUUCUUAGCGUAAGGACCUUGAUCAAAAGGGUUGGUGUCCGAACAUGGUGCCGCACCUUGCUUCCGAGCCUACGUGGAAUGAGAUUAAUAAGGAUAAUUGUUAUGUUGGUAGUCUCCGCGACUAUUAUAGGAUUAUCAUUCCUUUAA